GAUGAACGCUGGCGGCGUGCCUAAUACAUGCAAGUCGAGCGAACGGACGAGAAGCUUGCUUCUCUGAUGUUAGCGGCGGACGGGUGAGUAACACGUGGAUAACCUACCUAUAAGACUGGGAUAACUUCGGGAAACCGUAGCUAAUACCGGAUAAUAUUUUGAACCGCAUGGUUCAAAAGUGAAAGACGGUCUUGCUGUCACUUAUAGAUGGAUCCGCGCUGCAUUAGCUAGUUGGUAAGGUAACGGCUUACCAAGGCGACGAUGCAUAGCCGACCUGAGAGGGUGAUCGGCCACACUGGAACUGAGACACGGUCCAGACUCCUACGGGAGGCAGCAGUAGGGAAUCUUCCGCAAUGGGCGAAAGCCUGACGGAGCAACGCCGCGUGAGUGAUGAAGGUCUUCGGAUCGUAAAACUCUGUUAUUAGGGAAGAACAUAUGUGUAAGUAACUGUGCACAUCUUGACGGUACCUAAUCAGAAAGCCACGGCUAACUACGUGCCAGCAGCCGCGGUAAUACGUAGGUGGCAAGCGUUAUCCGGAAUUAUUGGGCGUAAAGCGCGCGUAGGCGGUUUUUUAAGUCUGAUGUGAAAGCCCACGGCUCAACCGUGGAGGGUCAUUGGAAACUGGAAAACUUGAGUGCAGAAGAGGAAAGUGGAAUUCCAUGUGUAGCGGUGAAAUGCGCAGAGAUAUGGAGGAACACCAGUGGCGAAGGCGACUUUCUGGUCUGUAACUGACGCUGAUGUGCGAAAGCGUGGGGAUCAAACAGGAUUAGAUACCCUGGUAGUCCACGCCGUAAACGAUGAGUGCUAAGUGUUAGGGGGUUUCCGCCCCUUAGUGCUGCAGCUAACGCAUUAAGCACUCCGCCUGGGGAGUACGACCGCAAGGUUGAAACUCAAAGGAAUUGACGGGGACCCGCACAAGCGGUGGAGCAUGUGGUUUAAUUCGAAGCAACGCGAAGAACCUUACCAAAUCUUGACAUCCUUUGACAACUCUAGAGAUAGAGCCUUCCCCUUCGGGGGACAAAGUGACAGGUGGUGCAUGGUUGUCGUCAGCUCGUGUCGUGAGAUGUUGGGUUAAGUCCCGCAACGAGCGCAACCCUUAAGCUUAGUUGCCAUCAUUAAGUUGGGCACUCUAAGUUGACUGCCGGUGACAAACCGGAGGAAGGUGGGGAUGACGUCAAAUCAUCAUGCCCCUUAUGAUUUGGGCUACACACGUGCUACAAUGGACAAUACAAAGGGCAGCGAAACCGCGAGGUCAAGCAAAUCCCAUAAAGUUGUUCUCAGUUCGGAUUGUAGUCUGCAACUCGACUACAUGAAGCUGGAAUCGCUAGUAAUCGUAGAUCAGCAUGCUACGGUGAAUACGUUCCCGGGUCU
rnacentral:rRNA from 1 species